rnacentral:rRNA from 1 species
GUGGGGAAUUUUGGACAAUGGGCGAAAGCCUGAUCCAGCCAUGCCGCGUGCAGGAUGAAGGCCUUCGGGUUGUAAACUGCUUUUGUACGGAACGAAAAGACUCCUUCUAAUAAAGGGGGUCCAUGACGGUACCGUAAGAAUAAGCACCGGCUAACUACGUGCCAGCAGCCGCGGUAAUACGUAGGGUGCAAGCGUUAAUCGGAAUUACUGGGCGAAAAGCGUGGGCAGGCGGUUAUAUAAGACAGAUGUGAAAUCCCCGGGCUCAACCAGGGAACUGCAUUUGUGACUGUAUAGCUAGAGUACGGUAGAGGGGGAUGGAAUUCCGCGUGUAGCAGUGAAAUGCGUAGAUAUGCGGAGGAACACCGAUGGCGAAGGCAAUCCCCUGGACCUGUACUGACGCUCAUGCACGAAAGCGUGGGGAGCAAACAGGAUUAGAUACCCCAGUAGUCC